GGUAUCGGCCUGAGAGGGUGAACGGACACACUGGAACUGAGACACGGUCCAGACUCCUACGGGAGGCAGCAGUAGGGAAUAUUGCUCAAUGGGGGAAACCCUGAAGCAGCAACGCCGCGUGGAGGAUGAAGGUUUUAGGAUUGUAACUCCUUUUGUUAGAGAAGAUUAUGACGGUAUCUAACGAAUAAGCACCGGCUAAGCUCCGUCCCAGCAGCCGCGGUAAUACGGAGGGUGCAAGCGUUACUCGGAAUCACUGGGCGUAAAGAGUGCGCAGGCGGGAUAGCAAGUCAGAUGUGAAAUGCUAUGGCUUACACCAUAGAACUGCAUUGAAACUGUUAUUCUA
rnacentral:rRNA from 1 species